rnacentral:tRNA from 2 species
GGGCUCGUAGCUCAGCUAGGUAGAGCGGCAGGCUCUUAACCUGUUGGUCGGGGGUUCAAAUCCCCCCGAGCCCG